rnacentral:rRNA from 1 species
GAAGCACAUUUUAACGGCCGCGGUAUCCUAACCGUGCAAAGGUAGCGUAAUCACUUGUCUUUUAAAUAAAGACUUGUAUGAACGGCUAAAUGAGGGCAGACCUGUCUCUUGUGAUCAACCAGUGAAACUGAUCUUUAAGUACAAAAGCUUAAAUAAACACAUAAGACGAGAAGACCCUGUGGAGCUUAAAACAACACUAUUACACCCAAAAUAGCAUAAGUUUUAAGUUGGGGCGACUUCGGAAUAAAAUAAAACUUCCGAGCACAGAGACAAGCCCUCUCCAUUAGACCAACAAGUCAAAGAAACACUGACCCAGUCACACUGAGCAACGAACCAAGUUACCCCAGGGAUAACAGCGCCAUCUUCUUCAAGAGUUCCUAUCGACAAGAAGGCUUACGACCUCGAUGUUGGAUCAGGACACCCAAAUGGUGCAACAGCUAUUAAAGGUUCGUUUGUUCAACGAUUAACAGUCCUACGUGAUCUGAGUUC